rnacentral:rRNA from 1 species
CCUACGGGAGGCAGCAGUAGGGAAUUUUGCGCAAUGGGCGAAAGCCUGACGCAGCAACACCGCGUGAAUGUUAAGCCCUUCGGGGUGUAAAGUUCUGUCAAUAGGGACGAAUUUUGACUGUACCUAUAAAGGAAGCACCGGCUAACUCCGUGCCAGCAGCCGCGGUAAUACGGGGGGUGCAAGCGUUGUCCGGAAUCAUUGGGCGUAAAGCGUUCGUAGGCGGCAAGGUAAGUCUGAUGUUAAAGCCAGGGGCUCAACUCCGGUUCGGCAUUGGAUACUAUCUAGCUAGAGAGUGGUAGAGGUAGGGGGAAUGCAUGGUGUAGCGGUGAAAUGCGUAGAGAUCAGACGGAACAUCGAUGGCGAAAGC